CCUUUGCCCUUCUCGAGGCCGGUGCUUGACUGGAGGAGGGCUGGCAGCAGAAGUGCAGCUGACCGGGUUGCGUUUUCGUACGGCUGACUAAAGCGGAUACCGGUGGCGACUCAUUUCUCGUUUUAUUUUUCAACGAUUUGGCGGAGAAGCUCCUCUUGUGAAUGGACUUUGGAUUUCUUGGAGCUGCGCUGCGGGUCCCACAGUGUGGCUUUCGGCCCGUGCUGUGCUGGCGCCUGCACUUCCUCUGGCGGGGCACGGGGUGGCGCUCCCUGGUAAAGCAGCGGCCAGGGGGAGCCGUGAGUGAGGCGCUGCCUCUCCCGCUGAAGCGGGUUCCAAGGCCACCGUGAGGGGGACCAUCCAUCCAGGUAAAACGUGUUCUUUCCUUGUUCCUUUGCGAAUCGAUGGGGAUCAGGCUUCCCCAGGUGGUGAAGUGAGGAACAGGGACCGCGGGGCUCGCCUGACCAGUGGGGUCUCCAUCCUUGUCCGUGCUGACAAAAGACAAGAACAGACAGCGCCUGAAAUCUUCCCGCCUCCGUGAGGGAAGCCUGCGUCUGGGAACGCGCCGCAGGGAAGUGAUCCCUGAGUGAGGGAGGAGGUGCCGGGGCAUCAUUAAUCAGACCUCAAUGCCGGGAAGGUUCUUUGUUUAAAGAAACACUCAUGUUUAAAGAGCACUUGGUGCGGACUUGCUGUGGCCAUCGCCCUCAACAGCUCAUCUUUAGGAGGUGCAGGCUGAAUUCACGCCUCGGUGUCGUCCAUGUCUGCCUGCCGCGCAGAGGAGACAGCGAGAGGCCUUCCCACCGCACGGCUUUUACGGGAAGCUCUUCGCAUUGGCUACAGGGGUGUGGUUUGGUUUAUAGCCACACCAAGUAAUUUUAAUAGAACUCAAUAACUGUGUUGCCUUGCAGGCUCCGAGUGCUACAGGCAGACCCGAGUCCGAGUCUUCCUACGGUUCAUUGUCCCCCCCUGGAUUUCCUAGGGACUCCAGAUACGAUGGCAUCGAUGUCAGUUAACUUGGCACUUCUUAAAAUAGAUCUAUGAUCAAAUCUUAAGUUUUUCCGAAUAAGACUCUGGAGGAAUGCAGGAAGGUCAUUUGAUUACUUUAAAAUAAGAGGAUUUUAUGUUAAAAUAUUGAAAAAGCCAGUCAUAAAACUAAGCUCUGUACCAAUGAAUAUAGUUCGCGAAGCCAGCAGCACAGGCUUAUUAUUAUAAAUAUCAAACACCACCAUUA
rnacentral:lncRNA from 10 species